CCUACGGGCGGCAGCAGUCGAGAAUCAUUCACAAUGGGGGAAACCCUGAUGGUGCGACGCCGCGUGGGGGAAUGAAGGUCUUCGGAUUGUAAACCCCUGUCAUGUGGGAGCAAAUUAAAAAGAUAGUACCACAAGAGGAAGAGACGGCUAACUCUGUGCCAGCAGCCGCGGUAAUACAGAGGUCUCAAGCGUUGUUCGGAAUCACUGGGCGUAAAGCGUGCGUAGGCGGUUUCGUAAGGCGUGUGUGAAAGGCGCGGGCUCAACCCUCGGACGGCAAAAGAUAAUGCGAGACGUGAGGAAUGGAGGGGGAACCGGAAUUCGCGGUGUAGCAGUGAAAUGCGUAGAUAUCGAGAGGAACACUCGUGGCGAAGGCGGGUUCCUGGACAUUAACUGACGCUGAGGCACGAAGGCCAGGGGAGCGAAAGGGAUUAGAUACCCGAGUAGUC
rnacentral:rRNA from 1 species